rnacentral:snRNA from 1 species
GAGUUCAUUCAGCCACUCAUAUACUAAAACUGGAAAACUACCUAGAUUAGCAUGCCUGGCUCAUGGAUGAUGACAUGCAAAUUUCUGAAGCAUUCCACAUUUUU